UACGGAAGGCAGCAGUGGGGAAUAUUGCACAAUGGGCGAAAGCCUGAUGCAGCUAUGCCGCGUGUAUGAAGAAGGCCUUAGGGUUGUAAAGUACUUUCAUCGGGGAGGAAAAACAAAACUAAUAAUUUUAUUUCUUGACGUUACCCGAAAAAGAAGCACCGGCUAACUCCGUGCCAGCAGCCGCGGUAAUACGGAGGGUGCUAGCGUUAAUCAGAAUUACUAGGCGUAAAGAGCACGUAGGUGGUUUUUUUAAAGUCAGAUGUGAAAUCCCUGGGCUUAACCUAGGAACUGCAUUUUGAAACUGAAAUACUAGAGUAUCGUAGAGGGAGGUAGAAUUCUAGGUGUAGCGGUGAAAUGCGUAGAUAUCUGGAGGAAUACCUGUGGCGAAAGCGGCCUCCUAAACGAAUACUGACACUGAGGUGCGAAAGCGUGGGGAGCAAACAGGGAUUAGAUACC
rnacentral:rRNA from 1 species